GUAUGGACCAAGAUACGAUUGGGAUGAGCACAUUCAGGGAAUAAUACUUGGCAGUUACUUUUGGGGCUAUACCAUAUUUUCAUUACCUGCGGGAGCUGUUUCUGAGUUAUGGGGUCCAGCAAGAGUUAUAUUUUGGACCACAAUAGUAUCGCUGAUUUUAAAUUCUGUCAGUGUUCCAGCAGCUAAUGGUCAUUAUGGAUUGCUGAUUGCCUGUAGAUUUCUCAUUGGAGCAGUAGGUGAAUGGAAGGCACGAAGAGCUAUUUCAUAAUCUUUGUUCGGAUCCAACACGAUUGGUGUGGAAAGUUGAAAUGAAAAUGUGUAAUUGGUACUAACUACUCCUAACAACUGCGACAUGAUGACUGAUUCAAGUCAAUGGAUUAAUAGGUUUAUAUAUAUAGUUGAAUAAAAACCAAUUUUAUGUG
rnacentral:lncRNA from 1 species